CUACGGGUGGCACCAGUCGAGAAUCUUCCGCAAUGGGCGCAAGCCUGACGGAGCAAUGCCGCGUGAGGGAUGACGGCCCUAGGGUUGUAAACCUCUGUCAGAAGGGACGAAGAACGUGACGGUACCUUCAGAGGAAGCCAUGGCUAACUACGUGCCAGCAGCCGCGGUAAUACGUAGAUGGCGAGCGUUAUUCGGAUUUACUGGGCGUAAAGGGUCCGUAGGGGGUCUGCCAAGUCUGAUGUGAAAUCCUGCGGCUCAACCGCGGAACUGCAUUGGAAACUGGCGGACUAGAGUGUGCGAGGGGUGAGCGGAAUUCCUGGUGUAGCGGUGGAAUGCGUAGAUAUCAGGAAGAACACCGAUGGCGAAGGCGGCUCACUGGCGCAUCACUGACCCUGAGGGACGAAAGCGUGGGUAGCAAACAGGAUUAGAUACCCCUGUAGUC
rnacentral:rRNA from 1 species